rnacentral:rRNA from 1 species
GGUUAAGCGACUAAGCGUACACGGUGGAUGCCCUGGCAGUCAGAGGCGAUGAAGGACGUGCUAAUCUGCGAAAAGCGUCGGUAAGGUGAUAUGAACCGUUACAGCCGGCGAUGUCCGAAUGGGGAAACCCAGUGCAAUUCGUUGCACUAUCGUUAACUGAAUACAUAGGUUAACGAGGCGAACCGGGGGAACUGAAACAUCUAAGUACCCCGAGGAAAAGAAAUCAACCGAGAUUCCCCCAGUAGCGGCGAGCGAACGGGGAGCAGCCCAGAGUCUGAAUCAGCUUGUGUGUUAGUGGAACGGUCUGGAAAGUCCGACGGUACAGGGUGAUAGUCCCGUACACCAAAAUGCACAGGCUGUGAACUCGAAGAGUAGGGCGGGACACGUGGUAUCCUGUCUGAAUAUGGGGGGACCAUCCUCCAAGGCUAAAUACUCCUGACUGACCGAUAGUGAACCAGUACCGUGAGGGAAAGGCGAAAAGAACCCCGGCGAGGGGAGUGAAAAAGAACCUGAAACCGUGUACGUACAAGCAGUGGGAGCACCUUCGGGUGUGACUGCGUACCUUUUGUAUAAUGGGUCAGCGACUUAUAUUCUGUAGCAAGGUUAACCGUAUAGGGGAGCCGCAGGGAAACCGAGUCUUAACUGGGCGUUAAGUUGCAGGGUAUAGACCCGAAACCCGGUGAUCUAGCCAUGGGCAGGUUGAAGGUUGGGUAACACUAACUGGAGGACCGAACCGACUAAUGUUGAAAAAUUAGCGGAUGACUUGUGGCUGGGGGUGAAAGGCCAAUCAAACCGGGAGAUAGCUGGUUCUCCCCGAAAGCUAUUUAGGUAGCGCCUCGUGAACUCAUCUUCGGGGGUAGAGCACUGUUUCGGCUAGGGGGUCAUCCCGACUUACCAACCCGAUGCAAACUACGAAUACCGAAGAAUGUUAUCACGGGAGACACACGGCGGGUGCUAACGUCCGUCGUGAAGAGGGAAACAACCCAGACCGCCAGCUAAGGUCCCAAAGUCACAGUUAAGUGGGAAACGAUGUGGGAAGGCACAGACAGCCAGGAUGUUGGCUUAGAAGCAGCCAUCAUUUAAAGAAAGCGUAAUAGCUCACUGGUCGAGUCGGCCUGCGCGGAAGAUGUAACGGGGCUAAACUGUGCACCGAAGCUGCGGCAGCGACACUUAGGUGUUGUUGGGUAGGGGAGCGUUCUGUAAGCCUGCGAAGGUGGCCUGUGAGGGUUGCUGGAGGUAUCAGAAGUGCGAAUGCUGACAUAAGUAACGAUAAUGCGGGUGAAAAGCCCGCACGCCGGAAGACCAAGGGUUCCUGUCCAACGUUAAUCGGGGCAGGGUGAGUCGACCCCUAAGGCGAGGCCGAAAGGCGUAGUCGAUGGGAAACAGGUUAAUAUUCCUGUACUUGGUGUUACUGCGAAGGGGGGACGGAGAAGGCUAUGUUAGCCGGGCGACGGUUGUCCCGGUUUAAGCAUGUAGGCGGAGGUUCCAGGUAAAUCCGGUACCUUAUUAACGCUGAGGUGUGAUGACGAGGCACUACGGUGCUGAAGUAACAAAUGCCCUGCUUCCAGGAAAAGCCUCUAAGCAUCAGGUAACAUUAAAUCGUACCCCAAACCGACACAGGUGGUCAGGUAGAGAAUACCAAGGCGCUUGAGAGAACUCGGGUGAAGGAACUAGGCAAAAUGGUGCCGUAACUUCGGGAGAAGGCACGCUGAUAUGUAGGUGAAGCCCCUGCGGGUGGAGCUGAAAUCAGUCGAAGAUACCAGCUGGCUGCAACUGUUUAUUAAAAACACAGCACUGUGCAAACACGAAAGUGGACGUAUACGGUGUGACGCCUGCCCGGUGCCGGAAGGUUAAUUGAUGGGGUUAUCCGUAAGGAGAAGCUCUUGAUCGAAGCCCCGGUAAACGGCGGCCGUAACUAUAACGGUCCUAAGGUAGCGAAAUUCCUUGUCGGGUAAGUUCCGACCUGCACGAAUGGCGUAAUGAUGGCCAGGCUGUCUCCACCCGAGACUCAGUGAAAUUGAACUCGCUGUGAAGAUGCAGUGUACCCGCGGCAAGACGGAAAGACCCCGUGAACCUUUACUAUAGCUUGACACUGAACAUUGAGCCUUGAUGUGUAGGAUAGGUGGGAGGCUUUGAAGCGUGGACGCCAGUCUGCGUGGAGCCAACCUUGAAAUACCACCCUUUAAUGUUUGAUGUUCUAACGUUGGCCCCUAAUCGGGGUUGCGGACAGUGUCUGGUGGGUAGUUUGACUGGGGCGGUCUCCUCCCAAAGAGUAACGGAGGAGCACGAAGGUUAGCUAAUCCUGGUCGGACAUCAGGAGGUUAGUGCAAUGGCAUAAGCUAGCUUGACUGCGAGCGUGACGGCGCGAGCAGGUGCGAAAGCAGGUCAUAGUGAUCCGGUGGUUCUGAAUGGAAGGGCCAUCGCUCAACGGAUAAAAGGUACUCCGGGGAUAACAGGCUGAUACCGCCCAAGAGUUCAUAUCGACGGCGGUGUUUGGCACCUCGAUGUCGGCUCAUCACAUCCUGGGGCUGAAGUAGGUCCCAAGGGUAUGGCUGUUCGCCAUUUAAAGUGGUACGCGAGCUGGGUUUAGAACGUCGUGAGACAGUUCGGUCCCUAUCUGCCGUGGGCGCUGGAGAAUUGAGGGGGGCUGCUCCUAGUACGAGAGGACCGGAGUGGACGCAUCACUGGUGUUCGGGUUGUCAUGCCAAUGGCAUUGCCCGGUAGCUAAAUGCGGAAGAGAUAAGUGCUGAAAGCAUCUAAGCACGAAACUUGCCCCGAGAUGAGUUCUCCCUGAGACUUUAAGUCUCCUGAAGGAACGUUAAAGACGAUGACGUUGAUAGGUCGGGUGUGUAAGCGUAGCGAUACGUUGAGCUAACCGAUACUAAUGAACCGUGAGGCUUAACCUU